rnacentral:misc_RNA from 1 species
UAGACGAUGGACGGCUUUUAUUGACACCCAUAUUCUCUUGUUGCUUGCUUGCUUCAGAAGCAAGUCCAUCAGCAGAAGCUAAGCCAUUACCAUUGGCCCCCAAAACUGGCACUUCAGGAAUCAGAAACUAUACCCAAGUCUGUAACAUCCUUUUGGGUGUCUCCAAUCCCUUCAGCAGUCAAGAGCCAGUUCCAUAUUUUUCCAUCAUCAGAAAUG